UGAUUUGGUCUUGAUUCCUACGGGAGGCAGCAGUGGGGAAUUAAGGACAAUGGGGGCAACCCUGAUCCAGCCAUUCCGCGUGAGUGAAGAAGGCCUUCGGGUUGUAAAGCUCUUUUGUCCGGAACGAAACGGUGCUCGUGAAUAUCGGGCGCUACUGACGGUACCGGAAGAAUAAGCACCGGCUAACUACGUGCCAGCAGCCGCGGUAAUACGUAGGGUGCGAGCGUUAAUCGGAAUUACUGGGCGUAAAGCGUGCGCAGGCGGUUUUGUAAGCCAGAUGUGAAAUCCCCGGGCUUAACCUGGGAAUGGCAUUUGGGACUGCAAGGCUUGAGUUUGGCAGAGGAGACUGGAAUUCCCGGUGUAGCAGUGAAAUGCGUAGAUAUCGGGAGGAAUACCGAUGGCGAAGGCGGCAUCCUGGACCGGUAUUGACGCUGAGGCGCGAAAGCCAGGGGAGCAAACGGGAUUAGAUACCCCGGUAGUCCUGGCCCUAAACGAUGAAUGCUUGGUGUGGCGGGUAUCGAUCCCUGCCGUGCCGAAGCUAACGCAUUAAGCAUUCCGCCUGGGGAGUACGGUCGCAAGGCUGAAACUCAAAGGAAUUGACGGGGGCCCGCACAAGCGGUGGAUUAUGUGGUUCAAUUCGACGCAACGCGCAGAACCUUACCCAGGCUUGAACUGCCGAUAACCUCCUACAAAAGUAGGCUCCCGAAAGGGCAUCUGUAGAGGUGCUGCAUGGCUGUCGUCAGCUCGUGUCGUGAGAUG
rnacentral:rRNA from 1 species